rnacentral:tRNA from 2 species
GUCUCUAUGGCUCAGUCGGUAGAGCGUUGGUCUCAUAUUCUCUCUAUAUGACCCUACCUGAAGGUCGGGAUAUCCAAAGGUCGCAAGUUCGAGCCUUGCUAGGGACA